rnacentral:rRNA from 1 species
UGGGGAAUAUUGCACAAUGGGCGAAAGCCUGAUGCAGCAACGCCGCGUGAGUGAUGAAGGCCUUCGGGUUGUAAAGCUCUGUCUUUUGGGACGAUAAUGACGGUACCAAAGGAGGAAGCCACGGCUAACUACGUGCCAGCAGCCGCGGUAAUACGUAGGUGGCAAGCGUUGUCCGGAUUUACUGGGCGUAAAGGAUGCGUAGGCGGAUUUUUAAGUGAGAUGUGAAAUUCCCGAGCUUAACUUGGGAGCUGCAUUUCAAACUGGGAAUCUAGAGUGCGGGAGAGGAAAGUGGAAUUCCUAGUGUAGCGGUGAAAUGCGUAGAGAUUAGGAAGAACACCAGUGGCGAAGGCGACUUUCUGGACCGUAACUGACGCUGAGGCAUGAAAGCGUGGGUAGCAAACA